UUCUUUCCCUUUUCUCUUACAUUUUUUUCAAACUUUUUCUUAUCUUUAUCCUCUCAUUCUCAUGCCUAAAGCCCAACCAAAAUGGGAUGUAGAAAUCAGGUGUACCACCCCCUAUUUAUAGGAAAAUAUGGGCGACACCAUGGGACGCCAACUCUUGGCGUCCCUUAAUUAUUACAUGCCUCCAAUUAAUUUUUAGUGUGG
rnacentral:lncRNA from 1 species